UCAAAUUUAUUUUACAUUCCUUCCAUACUAACUCUUCUCCUUGCAUGUAGACAGACUUGUGGCUGCUUUCAAUGACUUCUGAAAUUAGGUCAUUAAAAGUCAUACAUUCUUUGGCUAGUAAUCUUGGGUUACUCACUCAUGAGAGGCCAAGCUUUAUCUAGGAAGUUCAACUACUCGAGACUGUCAUGCUGUAAUAAUUCAGGCAUGAGGACACCUUCCUGUGUGUGCAAAACCUCUCAUAUUUUUCAGUGUGGCUCCGGCACAAAUGAACCAUGUUCUUCGCCUAAGUCAUUUAUGGAACAUCUGCUUUCGGUUUAGCAUCAGGGGAAACAAAGCAAAGAAGAAUGACACUGAAGAAUCAAAAAAAAAAAUGAGCAUAAGACCCAUGAAGAUUACAGACACAUACACUCCUAAAAUUAAACAUUAAGCGGAAUAAAAAUAAUCCCAGAUUA
rnacentral:lncRNA from 10 species